rnacentral:rRNA from 2 species
AUGGUUAAGUUAGAAAGGGCGCACGGUGAAUGCCUUGGCACUAGGAGCCGAUGAAGGACGGGACUAACACCGAUAUGCUUCGGGGAGCUGUAAGUGAGCUUUGAUCCGGAGAUUUCCGAAUGGGGAAACCCACUGUUCGUAAUGGAGCAGUAUCUUUAUCUGAAUACAUAGGAUAUUGAAGGCAGACCCGGGGAACUGAAACAUCUAAGUACCCGGAGGAAGAGAAAGCAAAUGCGAUUUCCUGAGUAGCGGCGAGCGAAACGGAAUUAGCCCAAACCAAGAGGCUUGCCUCUUGGGGUUGUAGGACACUCUAUAUGGAGUUACAAAGGAACGAAGUAAAUGAAGCGACCUGGAAAGGUCCGUCAAAGAAGGUAACAACCCUGUAGUUGAAACUUCGUUCCCUCUUGAGUGGAUCCUGAGUACGGCGGAACACGUGAAAUUCCGUCGGAAGCUGGGAGGACCAUCUCCCAAGGCUAAAUACUACCUAGUGACCGAUAGUGAACCAGUACCGUGAGGGAAAGGUGAAAAGCACCCCGGAAGGGGAGUGAAAGAGAUCCUGAAACCGUGUGCCUACAAGUAGUCAGAGCCCGUUAAUGGGUGAUGGCGUGCCUUUUGUAGAAUGAACCGGCGAGUUACGAUCUCAUGCAAGGUUAAGCUGAUAAGGCGGAGCCGUAGCGAAAGCGAGUCUGAAUAGGGCGUUUAGUAUGUGGUUGUAGACCCGAAACCAGGUGAUCUACCCAUGUCCAGGGUGAAGUUCAGGUAACACUGAAUGGAGGCCCGAACCCACGCACGUUGAAAAGUGCGGGGAUGAGGUGUGGGUAGCGGAGAAAUUCCAAUCGAACCUGGAGAUAGCUGGUUCUCUCCGAAAUAGCUUUAGGGCUAGCCUCAUGUUGUGAGAGUCUUGG